UUUGUUUCAGUACCUCUAUCAGAUCAGAUAAACCCAGACUGUUGGAGACAAUGAAAGACACAGUCAGGUCCUAUAUCUACACACCGCAGAGAAAGUAUUCCGGUUUCCACUAAAGCUGCGAUCUCAGCAUUUGUGUCCUCCAUAGCAGUUUAUCAGGUGGCGCUGUUGCUGGUAGUACUGGUGAUCCCACCCUCCACAUAGUCCGUGCUGGUAUAGAUGACAAGUUCCCCUUCCUUCUGGAGGGCUUUGGUAUCGUCCUAUCAGAGGACAGGAUGGAGGUGGUCCAGAUAGUCAUUCACUAUACCUGUGGUCUGGAAGGUGGGUGUCCUGUAUCUACUGAGAUGAGCUGCAGC